UAGCUGUGAUGACUCCUUAGGACACCUUUGGAUAACUCAUGAAAAGAACUCUUACUCCUGAGCUGA